rnacentral:lncRNA from 1 species
CGUGCCAUCAAUAUAUACUAAACUUAUUUAGUGUAAAUGAUUGAUUUUGAUAAUUUAUUUAUGCUUAUACCGCAUGAUUUGAAUGAUUUGGAUUAUUAAUUGAUUUUGACAAUUUUGUAGAGUUUGCAAUAAUCUUACUUUAUUGCUUUAAUAUGUUAAUCAUCAUGCCUUUCUUUUACUCUAUGUAUUACAUUAAUUGUUGUGAGCAUGAAUUUAUUUUAAAUUCAGCUAGUUACCUUAGUUCCCCCAUAUCACUUUAUUAUUCAGAAACCUAAAAUUAGCCUGAUUGCAUAAAGAAAUAUUUGGUUACAAAACUUACAAAUUGAAUUAAGUUUUGACAUUAUCAUAAAUCAUGCAAUCAAUGAAAUAUAUUGAAAUAUGCUUGAGCCAAGAAUUUCAAGAUAAGUUAUUUCUUCAUAAAAUAAAGUGCUUGAUAUGUUGAAUUCUAUUGCAUUUCAGCUUGACCCCUUAAGGACUUAAAAAUUCAUAGUUGAACUUAUAUCCUUUAGAUUGAUCUUUAAGGCUUUGAAAGUCCCAUAGUAAAUCUCACCCUUAAAGCUCUCAUCUAGAUUCUCCUUGAUUUGAUCUUGUUUAAAUUGAUUAAUUCUUGCUCCCCCAAAUUGAUUUGAAUAUCAUUUUUGAUCAUUGAUUUGAGUUGCCUUUGAUCUCUAUCCUAUUUAAGCUAAUUUUUCUUUUAUCAAAACUUCUUGAACUAUAUCGAGGAGUCAACUCUUGAACCUGGGAGUUGACUUAUAAUUUCUUAGGAUGCUAGGGUUCUUUUUUAAAUCUUUAGUGAUCCUAGCAUAGUAGUACUCUACCUUUUGAUAGAUAUAGCUCUCAUAUAUCGUGUAUGUUUUCAUCAUUUUCUAUAAUCAUACCUUGCAAAUCAAUAAAAUAUGAUUUUUUUUAUAGAAAUACAAUGUGCUUGAUGUUUACAUUUAUUUUAUUGAAUAUGUGUUUUAUUUGUAAAAUAAAAGGGGAGAAAUCAAAAUUAAAAAGAGAAAUGAUUUCGAAACUUAUUAAGAGAAACUUUACUUAACUUGAUUUAGUCUUAUAAUUUUUUUUUGAUUCUAAUCAUUUGAUUUGUUUUUAGAAAAAAUGUUUUUAAACUUAAAAAGAAAUUAUUUAUAUAUUGCUUGACUCGUCCAUCUUUGAUUUGGGCAUUCAUAUGACUUUUGAUUUGACCAUUUCUCUUCUCCAUCUCAUCUGGGAUCAUCUUCUUAAAGCCACCUGACCUUACCCUUAAGAUGCUAGGACUUGCAUUAUAGAGCCUUUAGUUCUCCCUAGCAUAUCAUUUUUGAUAGAUAUACAUGCUAUACAUUUUGGACUUUUUAAUGUUUGCUAUUGUAAACAUCUCAUGUAGACAUCCUUAGAAAGUAAUGAAAAGGAGAAUUUUUGAAAAUUUGGUCUCAACUUAAAUGAAUGCAAUGUUUAAUUACUAUUGAUGCUUACAC